UGGGGAAUCUUGCGCAAUGCGCGAAAGCGUGACGCAGCAACGCCGCGUGGGGGAAGAAGGCCUUCGGGUUGUAAACCCCUUUCAGUUGGGACGAAGCUUCGGCGGUGAAUAGCCGUCUGGAGUGACGGUACCUUCAGAAGAAGCCCCGGCUAACUACGUGCCAGCAGCCGCGGUAAUACGUAGGGGGCAAGCGUUGUCCGGAAUCAUUGGGCGUAAAGAGCGUGUAGGCGGCUUGGUAAGUCCGCUGUGAAAGUCCAGGGCUCAACCCUGGAAUGCCGGUGGAAACUGUCAAGCUUGAGUCCGGAAGAGGCGAGUGGAAUUCCUGGUGUAGCGGUGAAAUGCGCAGAUAUCAGGAGGAACACCAAUGGCGAAGGCAGCUCGCUGGGACGGUACUGACGCUGAGACGCGAAAGCGUGGGGAGCAAACAGGAUUAGAUACCCUGGUAGUCCACGCCGUAAACGAUGGGCACUAGGUGUGGGGGGUGUCGACUCCCUCCGUGCCGACGCUAACGCAUUAAGUGCCCCGCCUGGGGAGUACGGCCGCAAGGCUAA
rnacentral:rRNA from 1 species